rnacentral:rRNA from 1 species
UAGGGAAUCUUCGGCAAUGGACGAAAGUCUGACCGAGCAACGCCGCGUGAGUUCAGAAGGUUUUCGGAUCGUAAAACUCUGUUGUUAUAGAAGAACAAGGACGUUAGUAACUGAACGUCCCCUGACGGUAUCUAACCAGAAAGCCACGGCUAACUACGUGCCAGCAGUCGCGUUAAUACGUAGGUGGCAAGCGUUGUCCGGAUUUAUUGGGCGUAAAGCGAGCGCAGGGGGUUUCUUAAGUCUGAUGUGAAAGCCCCCGGCUCAACCGGGGAGGGUCAUUGGAAACUGGGAGACUUGAGUGCAGAAGAGGAGAGUGGAAUUCCAUGUGUAGCGGUGAAAUGCGUAGAUAUAUGGAGGAACACCAGUGGCAAAGGCGGCUCUCUGGUCUGUAACUGACGCUGAGGCUCGAAAGCGUGGGGAGCAAACAGG